GAUGAACGCUGGCGGCGUGCUUAACACAUGCAAGUCGAACGGUGAACGAGGGAGCUUGCUCCCUCCGGAUCAGUGGCGAACGGGUGAGUAACACGUGAGCAAUCUGCCCUGGACUCUGGGAUAAGCGUUGGAAACGACGUCUAAUACCGGAUACGAGACGCGAAGGCAUCUUCAGGGACUGGAAAGAACUUCGGUCCAGGAUGAGCUCGCGGCCUAUCAGGUAGUUGGUGAGGUAAUGGCUCACCAAGCCUACGACGGGUAGCCGGCCUGAGAGGGUGACCGGCCACACUGGGACUGAGACACGGCCCAGACUCCUACGGGAGGCAGCAGUGGGGAAUAUUGCACAAUGGGCGCAAGCCUGAUGCAGCAACGCCGCGUGAGGGACGACGGCCUUCGGGUUGUAAACCUCUUUUAGCAGGGAAGAAGCGAAAGUGACGGUACCUGCAGAAAAAGCACCGGCUAACUACGUGCCAGCCGCCGCCGUAAUAC
rnacentral:rRNA from 1 species